rnacentral:rRNA from 1 species
UACGUAGGGGGCAAGCGUUGUUCGGAAUUACUGGGCGUAAAGGGCGCGUAGGCGGCACGGCAAGUCGGGUGUGAAAGGCCUGGGCUCAACCGAGGAACUGCUUUCGAGACUGCCGAGCUAGAGUGCGGAAGGGGCAACUGGAAUUCCCAGUGUAGCGGUGAAAUGCGUAGAUAUUGGGAAGAACACCUGAGGCGAAGGCGGGUUGCUGGGCCGAAACUGACGCUGAGGCGCGAAAGCGAGGGGAGCAAACGGG